rnacentral:lncRNA from 1 species
GCUGAAACUCUCAUCUUAUAUCCGGACACUGCUCCUGUAGGUCCUGUCAUCAAUGGCUAUGCCGACCACUGAUCCAGCAGCUGUUUCCACUACUGCCUCCACAACUCCACCUGUCGCGCCACUAGCUACUUCACCAAUAACUUCCAACCACCGUAGCUCCAGUGACUCUUCUCGUCACCGCUCUAGUGGCUCUAGUCACCACUAACCCAAUGGCUCUGACCGUCGCUGCUCUUGCAAUAUGCUCUGCCACAACAUCGAAAAAUCCUGGAGUGAUCACAGCUCCACUCCCCUGCCUCCAAUCCACCUAUGGUCCAUACUGGUGGAAGUCGCUUCAUAGGUCUCUGGGUCCUCUUUGCAUUCUGUCACCUCGUAGUAUCUAUUCCUAAUGCAUAUGCCUCUAGGCCCUCUCCUGAUGCCCGCUCACUGUUUCCCAAGUGCUUGGGAGACUCCACCUCCCUCUGCACCUCCUUGCCUAGAGAUCAUGCCAUAGCCAUAGUCUUCGUCAUCACCUAUGAAGG